GCCGAGGUGGUGGAACGGUUUACACGACAGACUUAAAAUCUGUUGGGCUUUAGCCCAUGUGGGUUCGAAUCCCACCCUCGGCA
rnacentral:tRNA from 1 species